rnacentral:lncRNA from 1 species
GGGAGGAUUAUUUGAGCCCAGGAGGUCGAGGGUCUAGUGAGCUUGAUCGUGCCACUGCACUCCAGCCUGGGCGGCAGAGUAAGUUCAUGUCUCAAAAUAAAAAAGAGUUUCCAGCUGGGCGCGGUGGCUCACACCUGUAAUCUCAGCACUUUGGGAGGCAGAGGCAGGCGAAUCACGAGGUCAGGAGUUCGAGACCAGCCUGACCAACAUGGUGAAACCCUGUCUCUACUAAAAAUACAAAAGUUAGCCGGGCAUGGUGGCGCAUGCCUGUGAUCCCAGCUACUUAGGAGGCUGAGGCAGGGGAAUCGCUUGAAGCCGGGAGGUGGAGGUUGCAGUGAGCUGAGAUCACACCGCUACACUCCAGCCUGGGCGACAGAGCGAGACUCAAUCUCAAAAAUAAAGAGUUUCCAAUCACAUCCUGAGCAUCGUCUCUAGAGCACAUUUUCUUGGCAGUGCCAUAUAGUUUAUCCUUGCUCGAUAGUCAUUUUCUUAUUUUAGCAUCAUUUGCCGUAUGGGGAGGCUAAAACAUUUCAAAACCAUUAAUUCUGUCUCCUUUUUUUUUUAAAUCUUUCUCUCAGUUAAUGCUCUCCUCUCACAUUUUACUAUACCCAGCAGGAAGAAACCAGGCAGCAUCUUGAAUACUUUGUUUGGAAAAUCUCAUUAGCUAGGUCACCCGUUUAUUAUGUAUAUUCUGUCCUAUCCAUGUAACGUCAGGUAACAGCAGGGCUAAACUUUCUGCUGCUACUUAGUGAAAGUCUUCCUUCAAUUUCCAAUAACAACAUUCUUCUCACUUUCUUUUAAGCCCUCUUCAGCAAUGUCCUCAAAGUCCAAAGUCUAAGAACAGUGUGUUCAAAGCACUUUAGUGUCAUCAACACUCUCCUCAAACCCUGGUCCCAGAGCCAUGCCCACCUGUUAGGUUUUGCUACAGCAGCAUCCUCUCUCUGUACCAAAAUCUGUAUCAGUCCAAGAGCAGAGCCAUUAAUAUACAUGUGUGUGUGUGACACACAUAUACAUACAUAUAUAUGUGUGUAUAUAUAUAUUACCCAUACACCCAUACCUGUGGAUAAUCGUGGACUUGCUGCAGGGCUUUGCUCUUACACAGUUAAUUGUGUAAACUGAUUCGUCAGUUUCCAUAGGGCUGCCUGUUGUCUGCAUCCGACGCUGGAGCCUACUGUCCACAGGAGGUUUGGGAGGGACCUAAACCUGCGUCAGUUCUUGCUGCUUCUGGCCUUGGUGGUGUGGAGGUGCUGCAGAAGCUAGGGCCUCUCAUCAUGAAGAUGAGCCAGAUGCCUCCUUCGGGAGCCACAGGAUCCAGAGAGUCAAUGAAAGUAAAACUUCAGGACUGUCUGGAUUUAUUACGCCAGGGAGGAAGUUGAGCCCUGGAGACUGUCAGGUCGUACGACUGCAAUUCUUCUCAGAUUCACUCUCUUCCUCAUUGUUCUUGUUCUGUAAAUGACUAAGAGAGACCAGAGACCAGACCUCCCCACUUCCAAUCACUGGUUUUGUUGUAGAUGAACUGCCUCCUUUGCUGUCCGGUACCUAAUGUGGACCAGACGGUGCUCAAGACCCUAUCACUAGUACAACCUCAGUGUGGAAUGUUAAAUAUGCCUUGCCUGGAAGAAAAAGACCAACUUGACUAAUCAGAUCAUCAUAACUAUGCAUGAAGUCUUCCACAGAAAGAUGAUGAAAUUUUGUUACACUUCCCUAACCUUUGUCUAAAUAAGCAUUCCCAAACAUCUACACUUUGGAACACUGACUUCUGUUCUUUGAGAUGGGUGCUUCCCAGGUGGCCCAUCCUCAAACUUUUUGCUUGAAUAAACUCUCUAAACUAGAUUCUGUUCCUUUUGAUUAUUUUAGGUUGACAAGAAGAAGGCAGUAGUGGCAGUCCUGGCCAUGGUGGUGUUAACAGUGUAAGCUGUCAGACCCACAACACGUGUGAGCCACAACACAGUGGCAGC